rnacentral:rRNA from 1 species
UUUCUAUGGAGAGUUUGAUCCUGGCUCAGGACGAACGCUGGCGGCGUGCCUAAUACAUGC